GACGAACGCUGGCGGCGUGCUUAACACAUGCAAGUCGAACGGAAAGGCCCCUUUGGGGGUACUCGAGUGGCGAACGGUUGAGUAACACGUGAGUAACCUGCCCUGGACUUCGGGAUAACUUCAGGAAACUGGGGCUAAUACCGGAUAGGAAUCCUAGCUGCUAGGGGUGGGUUGGAAAGCUUUUGGGGUUUUGGAUGGAUUCGCGGCUUAUCAGCUUGUUGGCGGGGUAGUGGCUUACCAAGGCUUUGACGGGAAGGCGGCCUGAGAGGGAGACCGGCAACAGUGGGACUGAGAUACGGCCCCGACUCCUACGGGAGGCAGAAGGGGGGAAGAUUGCACAAGGGGCGGAGGCCGGAUGCAGAAACGCCGCGGGCGGGAGGACGGCCUUCGGGUUGUAGACCGCAUGCAGCAGGAGCGAAGCUUGUGGUGACGGUACCUGCAGAAGAAGCACCGGCUAACUACGUG
rnacentral:rRNA from 1 species